UACGGGGGGGAGCAAGCGUUGUUCGGAUUUACUGGGCGUAAAGGGCGCGUAGGCGGCCUCCGCAAGUCGACUGUGAAAUCUCCGGGCUUAACUCGGAACGGUCAAGUGAUACUGUCGUGCUAGAGUACAGAAGGGGCAACUGGAAUUCUCGGUGUAGCGGUGAAAUGCGUAGAUAUCGAGAGGAACACCUGCGGCGAAGGCGGGUUGCUGGGCUGAUACUGACGCUGAGGCGCGAAAGCUAGGGGAGCGAACGGG
rnacentral:rRNA from 1 species